UACGUAGGUGGCGAGCGUUGUCCGGAAUUACUGGGCGUAAAGGGCUCGUAGGCGGCCAACUAAGUCAGACGUGAAAUCCCUCGGCUUAACCGGGGAACUGCGUCUGAUACUGGAUGGCUUGAAUCCGGGAGAGGGAUGCGGAAUUCCAGGUGUAGCGGUGAAAUGCGUAGAUAUCUGGAGGAACACCGGUGGCGAAGGCGGCAUCCUGGACCGGCAUUGACGCUGAGGAGCGAAAGCCAGGGGAGCAAACGGG
rnacentral:rRNA from 1 species